rnacentral:rRNA from 1 species
GACGAACGCUGGCGGCGUGCUUAACACAUGCAAGUCGAACGGAAAGGCCCUGCUUUUGUGGGGUGCUCGAGUGGCGAACGGGUGGGUAACACGUGAGUAACCUGCCCUUGACUUUGGGAUAACUUCAGGAAACUGGGGCUAAUACCGGAUAGGAGCUCCUGCUGCAUGGUGGGGGUUGGAAAGUUUCGGCGGUUGGGGAUGGACUCGCGGCUUAUCAGCUUGUUGGUGGGGUAGUGGCUUACCAAGGCUUUGACGGGUAGCCGGCCUGAGAGGGUGACCGGCCACAUUGGGACUGAGAUACGGCCCAGACUCCUACGGGAGGCAGCAGUGGGGAAUAUUGCACAAUGGGCGGAAGCCUGAUGCAGCAACGCCGCGUGCGGGAUGACGGCCUUCGGGUUGUAAACCGCUUUCGCCUGUGACGAAGCGUGAGUGACGGGAAUGGGUAAAGAAGCACCGGCUAACUACGU